AGUGAACGCUGGCGGCAGGCCUAAUACAUGCAAGUCGAACGGCAGCACAGCAGAGCUUGCUCUGUGGGUGGCGAGUGGCGGACGGGUGAGGAAUACAUGGGAAUCUGCCCAGUCGUGGGGGAUAACGUAGGGAAACUUACGCUAAUACCGCAUGCGCCCUUCGGGGGAAAGCCGGGGACCUUCGGGCCUGGCGCGAUUGGAUGAGCCCAUGUCGGAUUAGCUAGUUGGCGGGGUAAAGGCCCACCAAGGCGACGAUCCGUAGCUGGUCUGAGAGGAUGAUCAGCCACACUGGAACUGAGACACGGUCCAGACUCCUACGGGAGGCAGCAGUAGGGAAUAUUGGACAAUGGGCGCAAGCCUGAUCCAGCCAUGCCGCGUGAGUGAAGAAGGCCCUCGGGUUGUAAAGCUCUUUUGUCCGGAAAGAAAGCGCCGGGUUAAUACCCUGGUGUCCUGACGGUACCGGAAGAAUAAGCACCGGCUAACUUCGUGCCAGCAGCCGACGG
rnacentral:rRNA from 1 species